CCUCCUCCUCCUCUGCUGUUCGGCUUCUCUUUCCAUCCAGAAGUCAUUCCAGUGAGGUUGGCGGGCGAUUUCUCACUUCAAAAUUCACAACGCUUUUCCGCUCCAAGAGUGCUUUCAGAGGGUGGUAAAAAUUGUGAUACAAAUUUUUUAUAUUUGUAAAAGCACAGGUCCUGUUGAAACAGGGCUUUCUUGGUUUGAGUACCAAAUUAUGGGCAACAAGGAUUUUAUUGAACUCCAUGCAUUGAAUGAUGAAGUUAAGGAUGGCGUCUUCAAUAAGGAGAAUGUGAAACAGGCUAAGGGUGAAAUCAGAAAUUUAGAUAAGCAGCACACCCAAAGAAAAUACCCUGAGGAAGAUUUAGUUGAUAAACCGCCGCCUUUGCAGGGGAAUGUUGAAUUGGUAGAAACUGUUACCAUUGCUGAGAAGAUGACUGGGAUUGAAUCCAUUGUGCAUGGUGGCAAUAAUGAUGUGAUUCUCCAAAAGGAAGUUUUUAGCAGCCAUAAGAUAGAUGGUAGCUCUGUAACAGGUGUUAAGAGAUCCCGGAUGACAUGUGAUGAUCAACAACCAUUUGUGCAUGUGAUAUAUAAUUCCUUAUCAAGGUGGGGAUGUAAUGAAUAACAUUUUGCUUUUCAGCAGUUCAACCUAAUAAUUCUGUACUUUAUUUUGAAUUGUUUGCAAAGAGAGUCGGUCAUUGGCAAAUAGAUGUUUCAUGUGUAUUGAAAAGGAGGAGACCAUAGAUCAUCUGCUUCUCCACUGCUCAAAAACAAGGGCUUAUGGGAGUUGCUUUUUUCUUUGUUUGGGGUGUCUUGGGUGCUGCCGUGUUCAGUUAGAGAGACUCUGCUUAGUUGGCAGACUUCUUCUGUUGGCAAGAAACACAGGAAAGUGUGGAGAGCGGCUCCCCUGCAUAUUUUUUGGACGGUUUGGAAGGCAAGAAAUCGAUUAGCUUUCAAGGAUGAUGAAAUAUCAAUACAGAGAUUGAAAUAUUCCUUUUUAUGCUCACUUUGGUCUGAGGCAAAGCUGUUUAUAAUAGAAUGCCCUCAAACUUUGGUGAAUUUUAUAGAUUGGUUGGGAUCAUUGUAAGGUUUUUGGGUCUUUUGGUUGUUGGGUCUCUUAUUUGUCUUUGGCCUCUUUUGGUGGUGGGUGUAUAGGUUUGUAUACUUUGCAUAGGUUGUAUUCCCUGAGUCGCUCCUUUGGCGUCUCUUUAUAAAUGAAUUUUCUUUACUUAUCAAAAAAAAAAAA